rnacentral:piRNA from 1 species
GUCAUAAGUCAUGGAUGGUCCACUC